AGCGUUGCUCGGAAUUACUGGGCGUAAAGGGAGCGUAGGCGGACAUUUAAGUCAGGGGUGAAAUCCCAGAGCUCAACUCUGGAACUGCCUUUGAUACUGGGUGUCUUGAGUGUGAUAGAGGUAUGUGGAACUCCGAGUGUAG
rnacentral:rRNA from 1 species